AUGAAUCUCAUGAGCUGGAACUGCCGGGGAGGGGGAAAUUCCCGGACAGUUCGCGAGCUAGCGACGCUAGUGCAGUCGCAUUCCCCCAGGAUGGUGUUUUUGUGUGAGACAAGACAAAAAUAAGAGAAAAUGAGAAGAUUGAGAGGCUGGCUAGGCCUCAAAGGCUUUACUAGUGUGCACAUCAAUGGCCUCAGCGGGGGCCUUGCUCUCUUUUGGCAUGAAAAUCUGCUAGUGGAUAUUCUGGACAAGGAUAUGAUCGAUACAUCGAUGUGGUGGUUCAUUUACAUGCUGACGCCGAACCAUGGAGGGUAA
rnacentral:rRNA from 1 species